AACGAACGCUGGCGGCGUGCUUAACACAUGCAAGUCGAGCGAGAACGGUUCCUUCGGGAACUUAGUAAAGCGGCGCACGGGUGAGUAACACGUGGGUAACCUGCCUUGUAGUGGGGGAUAACAGUCCGAAAGGACUGCUAAUACCGCAUGAGACCCUCGAGUCUUUGGGCUUGAGGGGGAAAGGGGCUUCGGCCUCGCUACAAGAUGGGCCCGCGCACCAUUAGCUAGUUGGUGGGGUAAUGGCCUACCAAGGCGACGAUGGUUAGCUGGUCUGAGAGGAUGAUCAGCCACACUGGAACUGAGACACGGUCCAGACUCCUACGGGAGGCAGCAGUGAGGAAUCUUGCGCAAUGGGCGAAAGCCUGACGCAGCAACGCCGCGUGUGUGAUGAAGGCCCUAGGGUUGUAAAGCACUGACCAGAGGAAAGAACAAACGGGAUUAAUCUCCCGUCCUGACGGUACCUCUGAAGAAAGCACCGGCUAACUCCGUGCCAGCAGCCGCA
rnacentral:rRNA from 1 species